AGAAGUAACAAAUUUGCAGACCUUGUUUGUCUUCUCUAAAAACUUCUACUUCCUGUUUAUGUCAUGUUAGCCAUCUUGGAUUGUGGACUCAGGAAGGGGGAGGACCCCCCGCCCCCAGCUUUGUUGCUAACCACUAGCCGCGGCUAGCAGUCUUUGACUAGCUAUCGUGACUCAAAGCUAAUCACAAGAUAAUCCUGAUCCAUAUCUCGCUGAGAAGCCCGUCAUGCCCAUAGAAGGAACCAUUUUGGAGGAUGAAGUGUGUGUGGACGUCCUCAAACACUUACUCAGCUAACUUGCAUCUCAUUGUCAGGCUGCCAAAGUCCAGCAGACACUAAUGGCCCUCUAACACAUUUAAAAUCAAAUCAGCUGAUGUUGAAAAAGCUUCUCGCUGCCUCUUUGACCCAAUCACAGAUUGUCAUGACGGCAGUGUUCUCUCACUUGGCUCCACUCUCUCACACACACACACACUUGGCCCAGACGAUGUGUGUGUUAGUGAGUGUGUGAGACUGGCUUUAAGGGAUUAAUAAGCUUGUGAUAUAUCCAGCUGCCAAGUGGCUAUAGCUUAAAAUAAAUCUCAGAAUGAUUUCAGAACUGGCAGCAAAUCGAUGCCAAGAAGUUACUUCUGGGGGUAAAAAAAAAAAGCUGCUGUGAAAAGACGUCACUUGUUACGAAAGGGACGCAGGGGAAACAGCCGACGCAGCAUAUUUCACCGCUCAGCAGGGAAACUAUAAAUUCUAAUUUUAAAUCUCAUCGUUGGAGGAGAAGAUGGGAUUCAAUACAAUUAAAGUCUCAGGCAUCGAUUUAAGAGCUUGACCAUGAGCUAACUGCUAAGAAAACAGGUUGUUGCUGAGUGCAAUCACGGCAGGAGAAACACGGCAAUUGCUUUGUGAACAUACCGUUCCCAGCACUGCAGGGUUUUGGAUCUCAGUCGUCAGUUUUGGGUUGAAGAUACUGCUAAAGGUGUAAAUAGCAGAAGCAUUUGCAGUCUUGAAGGGUCCCGGCAGGACAGGAAUCUGGGUUACCAAUCGUCCUUGAACAAGGUGACGUGACAGUCCUGAAAACAAGUCCGGCUAACCUUUACAAUGCUUGGUCCGAUUCUGAAAUGUGGUCACUGGCGAAUGGAGAUGGCACUGUGUAGAGAAAACCAUCAUCACAGAGGUCUCUAAAUGUAUGUGGCUUGGCAAGUCUGCGAUGAGCACGAGCAGCACUGUACCUCACAGCAACCUUUCUGUUCAACCCUGGCCGCUGUGAAGCCAUAAUGAAAUGAGCAAACAUUUUUGGACGGUGCGAAGUCUCACCGGAAGGCUGUUCUUCAAGUAUUUCAAUACACAAAACUGAGUUUAAUCUGCGAUGAAUUGUGUUCGAUUAAUAAACUGAUCU